UUCAGACAUAUGCUUGUC
rnacentral:snRNA from 1 species